GUGGGGAAUAUUGGGCAAUGGGCGCAAGCCUGACCCAGCAACGCCGCGUGAAGGAAGAAGGCUUUCGGGUUGUAAACUUCUUUUAUGAGGGACGAAGGAAGUGACGGUACCUCAUGAAUAAGCUCCGGCUAACUACGUGCCAGCAGCCGCGGUAAUACGUAGGGAGCGAGCGUUAUCCGGAUUUACUGGGUGUAAAGGGCGUGUAGGCGGGGAAGCAAGUCAGAUGUGAAAACCAGUGGCUCAACCACUGGCCUGCAUUUGAAACUGUUUUUCUUGAGUGAUGGAGAGGCAGGCGGAAUUCCGUGUGUAGCGGUGAAAUGCGUAGAUAUACGGAGGAACACCAGUGGCGAAGGCGGCCUGCUGGACAUUAACUGACGCUGAGGCGCGAAAGCGUGGGGAGCAAACAGGA
rnacentral:rRNA from 1 species